rnacentral:rRNA from 1 species
CCUACGGGAGGCAGCAGUGGGGAAUAUUGCACAAUGGAGGAAACUCUGAUGCAGCGACGCCGCGUGAGCGAAGAAGUAUUUCGGUAUGUAAAGCUCUAUCAGCAGGGAAGAUAAUGACGGUACCUGACUAAGAAGCUCCGGCUAAAUACGUGCCAGCCGCCGCGGUAAU